GGUGAAGUGCUCACUGAUAUCCGUGCGCUUGCGGAUCAAUUCCUUAUUGUGUUCCCAAAUAUCAACAAGCAUUUCUGGCGCCGUUGCCGAGGAGAAAGACGGUUUGCUGAGAUAACCUUGAGUCUUACUACUAGCUUGUGUCUAUACUUUUAUCUUUUCUUAUCUUUUAUAUUAUUUAUUUAUUUUCUUUACUCUUACCUUAUGGAAAACCAAAAUUCUAAAUCGAUCCAUGAAUCUGCAAUCCCUUCAGUAACUGACCUUUUACCAUGGGAAUCAUCAC
rnacentral:lncRNA from 1 species